rnacentral:lncRNA from 1 species
UUUUGAGAUUAAAAUUGGAUCAUGUGGAAAAAGAGUUAAGUGACUGAAUCAGAGGGUUUUGAUUUGCGGGGUGCAUGUGGUUUAGGUCCAGGAAUAAUUCCUAAUGAACUUGACUCAACCUGCAUACAUUAGACUCAAUCAGUAAAUAAGUAAAACUUGAAUUACUUUUAAUAAUUUAUUAAAAUGCAAUCAUGAAGGUAAUACAAUUUUCAGUUAAAUUUACAAAAUAUGUGAAUUAAAAUAAUGGUAAGUGCUAUAAAUAAGAUAUUAAUUUAUGAAUUAUUUAGCACUU